UGCAGGCCAGAGCCUUAUACAAGGUACACCUUUUGUGGGCUGGCAACAAUGAUUCUGAUCAAUGAGGUCAAUUGUUUGGACUUGCCUAGACUAAUUGAUUGGUUGGUAUUUCGACAAGGGAAGGAAUGUGGAUUUCAGGGGAGGACUAAUAAGUUAGCUGAUGGUUGCUACUCUUUCUGGCAGGUGAUUUUCUUUAUUAUUUUCUUUUCUUUUUUCUUUUUAAUUCUUGAACCUAUGGAUUUUCUGCAUCAUAGUUGAGUUAACUAAGAUAAGUGACCAGGGAAGUGCAUUUGCAUUAUUACAAAGAAUACCUUCAGUUAGUGAGGAGCAAAUUGUGCUACUGGA